GAUUUAUUUGUUUGUGUAGGUGCGAGGGACUCGUGCGUGGCCUCCUACUGGAUUGAUACCUUGGUUCUCAAAAACUGAGGGAAAUACUUACGCUACUUUGCUGCAUCACCCUUUCCUAUUCAAGGGAAAACCAACGCAGUGCUGAAGAGGUAGCAAGAAGGAUUUCUGGCGCCGUUGCCGGGGAGGUCUACGUAAAAGUCAACAUACCAAGGACCCAUCACAAACCCUUAUCUCCUGCAUUACAUUAUUUGCCAUUUGCCUCUCGUUUUCCUCUCCCCCACUUCACCCUUGCCGUUUUAUUCGCCCUCUCUUUUCUGCUCGCCCUUCUUUCGCCAUGUCUGAAUCAAAAAGGGUUAGGGGUUCUCUCUCGGGUUUUAGUACCUUGGAUAACCCCUCUGUCCUCUCUAAGCUCAUAAACAAUGAUCCUGUAGAAAGACCUACCGGGGUCAUCAAUGAAAGUCUGAAUAAUUUGGAUGAAGAUGAUUGCAGAAUAUUUCGUUAUUUACUUGAUGAAUCUUUGAAAGAUGCUUGGGAUAGGCUGUUAAGGAUCCGGGCUAGCUAUGUACCCCAAUAUCAAAUUGAGGUUUAUCUAAAAAGCUUUUAUGUUGGGUUACCCGCUUCGUUCAAACAAGUUUUAGAUUAUAUUUUUGAAGAGGGUUUUCUUGAAGCGGACCCCAUAGAUACCUAUGAAAAGAUGAAAACUAUAUUUGGGCAUCCCAUGAAUGAGAAAGUUGAAUCCACAUCUCUUUUGCUCUCCUACCAAAACGAAUCUAUUAAAGAGAUAAAAGCUAGCCUAGAUGCAAAUUUCCGCAACGUGCUUAAUCUUUCUUCUACCAUCAAUAGCCACGUGCUUUAUCAAAAUAGAAAGAUUAAUUCCAUAGAUAACAAGUUUUCUCUUUUCUUCCCUAAAACCAAAGAUGGCAAUACCUAGAUCUAUCCUUGCUAUUAUGCCUAGCUAGGGGCGUUAAACGAUAGCGCUUGUUGGGAGGCAACCCAAUUUUAUUUCUAGUUUUUGCUUUUUGCUUCUGUUUAGGAAUAAAUAUUUGUUCUAUCCUCUGGUUAGAUGUGUUUUUAUGUUUUAAUUAGUGUUUGUGCCAAGUUAAACCUAUAGGAUCUUCUUGGAUGAUAGUUAUUUGAUCUUGCAGAAAAUUCCAGAAACUUUCUGUUCACGAAAAUAAUUGUUAAAAAUCACCAGAACGUGAUAAAAUAUUGAUUCAAAUUUCUUCUGAUCAAUAAACAAAUUGUCUAGGUCGUCCUAUUUUGGCUGAUUUUUUGGAGUUCCAGAAGUUUGCUUUAGUUACAGAUUACUACAGACUAUUCUGUUUUUGACAGAUUCUGCUUUUCGUGUGUUGUUUGCUUAUUUUGACGAAUCUAUGGCUAGUAAAAUAGUUUAUAAACCAUAGAGAAGUUGGAAUACAGUAGGUUUAACACCAAUAUAAAUAAAGAAUGAGUUCAUUACAGUACCUUGAAGUCGUCUUUUGUUUUCUUUCGCUAACGGAGCUCACGAGAUUUUCUGCUGAGUUUUGUGUUGUGAAGUUUUCAAGUUUUGGGUGAAAGAUUUGAUGGAUUAUGGAACAAGGAGUGGCAAGAGCCUAAGAUUGGGGAUGCCCAUGGCACCCCCAAGAUAAUCUAAGGACACCUAAAAGCCAAAGCUUGGGGAUGCCCCGGAAGGCAUUCCCUCUUUCGUCUACUUCCAUCGGUAACUUUACUUGGAGCUAUAUUUUUAUUCACCACAUGAUAUGUGUUUUGCUUGGAGCGUCUUGUAUUAUUUGAGUCUUUAUUUUUUAGUUUACCACUUUCAUCCUUGCUGUACACACCUUUUGAGAGAGACACACAUGAUUCGGAAAUUAUUAGAAUACUCUAUGUGCUUCGCUUAUAUCUUUUGAGUUAUAUGGUUUUUGCUCUAGUACUUCACUUAUAUCUUUUAGAGCACGGUGGUGGAUUUGUUUUAUAGAAACUAUUGAUAUCUCAUGCUUCACUUAGAUUAUUUUGAGAGUCUUAAAUAGCAUGGUAAUUUUCUUAAAUAAUCCUAACAUGCUAGGUAUUCAAGAUUAGUAAAAACUUUCUUAUGAGUGUGUUGAAUACUAAGAGAAGUUUGAUGCUUGAUGAUUGUUUUGAGACAUGGAGGUAGUGAUAUCAAAGUUGUGCUAGUUGAGUAGUUGUGAAUUUGAGAAAUACUUGUGUUGAAGUCUGCAAGUCCCGUAGCAUGCACAUAUGGUAAACGUUAUGUAACAAAUUUGAAACAUGAGGUGUUCUUUGAUUGUCCUCCUUAUGAGUGGCGGUCGGGGACGAGCGAUGGUCUUUUCCUACCAAUCUAUCCCCCUAGGAGCAUGCGCGUAGUGCUUGGUUUUUGAUGACUUGUAGAUUUUUGCAAUAAGUAUGUGAGUUCUUUAUGACUAAUGUUGAGUCCAUGGAUUAUACGCACUCUCACCUUUCCAUCAUUGCUAGCCUCUUUGGUACCGUGCAUUGCCCUUUCUCACAUUGAGAGUUGGUGCAAACUUCGCCGGUGCAUCCAAACCCCGUGAUAUGAUACGCUCUUUCACACAUAAACCUCCUUAUAUCUUCCUCAAAACAUCCACCAUACCUACCUAUUAUGGCAUUUCCAUAGCCAUUCCGAGAUAUAUUGCCAUGCAACUUUCCACCGUUCCAUUUAUCAUGACACGUUCAUCAUUGUCAUAUUGCUUUGCAUGAUCAUGUAGUUGACAUAGUAUUUGUGGCAAAGCCACCGUUCAUAAUUCUUUCAUACAUGUCACUCUUGGUUCAUUGCAUAUCCCGGUACACCGCCGGAGGUAUUCAUAUAGAGUCAUACUUUGUUCUAGUAUCGAGUUGUAAUCAUUGAGUUGUAAAUAAAUAGAAGUGUGAUGAUCAUCAUUUUCUAGAGCAUUGUCCCAAGUGAGGAAUAAAAAAAUAAAAAAGAGAAGGCCCAAAAAAAUGAGAGAAAAAGAGAGAAGGGACAAUGUUACGAUCCAUUUACCACACUUGUGCUUCAAAGUAACACCAUAAUCUUCAUGAUAGAGAGUCUCUUGUUUUGUCACCUUCAUAUACUAGUGGGAUUUUUCAUUAUAGAACUUGGCUUGUAUAUUCCAACAAUGGGCCUCCUCAAGUGCCCUAGGUCUUCGUGAGCAAGCAAGUUGGAUGCACACCCACUUAGUUUCUUUUGUUGAGCUUUCAUAUAUUUAUAGCUCUAGUAAAUCCGUUGCAUGGCAAUCCCUACUCCUUGCAUUAACAUCAAUCGAUGGGCAUCUCCAUAGCUCAUUGAUUAGCCUCGUUGAUGUGAGACUUUCUCCUUUUUUGUCUUCUCCACAUAACCCCCAUCAUCAUAUUCUAUUCCACCCAUAGUGCUAUAUCCAUGGCUCACGCUCAUGUAUUGCGUGAAGGUUGAAAAAGUUUGAGAUUACUAAAGUAUGAAACAAUUGCUUGGCUUGUCAUCGGGGUUGUGCAUGGUGAGAACAUUCUUGUGUGACAAAAAUGGAGCAUGACUAAACUAUAUGAUUUUGUAGGGAUGAACUUUCUUUGGCCAUGUUAUUUUGAGAAGACAUAAUUGCUUAGUUAGUAUGCUUGAAGUAUUAUUAUUUUUAUGUCAAUAUUGAAAUUUUAUCUUGAAUCUUUCGGAUCUAAAUAUUCAUACCACAAUUAAGAAGAAUUACAUUGAAAUUAUGCCAAGUAGCAUUCCACAUCAAACAUUCUGUUUUUAUCAUUUACCUACUCGAGGACGAGCAGGAAUUAAGCUUGGGGAUGCUUGAUACGUCUCCAACGUAUCUAUAAUUUUUGAUUGCUCCAUGCUAUAUUAUCUUCUGUUUUGGACAUUAUUGGGCUUUAUUAUACACUUUUAUAUUAUUUUUGGGACUAACCUAUUAACCGGAGGCCAAGCCCAAAAUUGUUUUUUUUGCCUAUUUCAGAGUUUCGCAGAAAAAGAAUAUCAAACGGAGUCCAAACGGAAUGAAACCUUUGGGAACGUGAUUUUUGGAACGAACGUGAUCCAGAGGACUUGGACCCUACGUCAAGAAAGCUACCAGGAAGCCACAAGGUAGGGGGGCGCGCCUACCCCCUUGGGCGCGCCCUCCACCCUCGUGGGCCCCACGUUGCUCCACCGACGUACUCCUUCCUCCUAUAUAUACCUACGUACCCCCAAACUACCAGAUACGGAGCCAAAAACCUAAUUCCACCGCCGCAACCUUCUGUACCCGUGAGAUCCCAUCUUGGGGCCUGUUCCGGAGCUCCGCCGGAGGGGGCAUCGAUCACGGAGGGCUUCUAAAUCAACACCAUAGCCUCUCCGAUGAUGUGUGAGUAGUUUACCUCAGACCUUCGGGUUCAUAGUUAUUAGCUAGAUGGCUUCCUCUCUCUUUUUGGAUCUCAAUAAAAUGUUCUCCCCCUCUCUCGUGGAGAUCUAUUCGAUGUAAUCUUCUUUUGCGGUGUGUUUGUUGAGACCGAUGAAUUGUGGGUUUAUGAUCAAGUUUAUCUAUGAACAAUAUUUGAAUCUUCUCUGAAUUCUUUUAUGUAUGAUUGGUUAUCUUUGCAAGUCUCUUCGAAUUAUCAGUUUGGUUUGGCCUACUAGAUUGAUCUUUCUUGCAAUGGGACAAGUGCUUAGCUUUGGGUUCAAUCUUGCGGUGUCCUUUCCCAGUGACAGUAGGGGCAGCAAGGCACGUAUUGUAUUGUUGCCAUCGAGGAUAACAAGAUGGGGUUUAUAUCAUAUUGCAUGAGUGUAUCCCUCUACAUCAUGUCAUCUUGCUUAAAGCAUUACUCUGUUCUUAUGAACUUAAUACUCUAGAUGCAUGAUGGAUAGCGGUCGAUGUGUGGAGUAAUAGUAGUAGAUGCAGGCAGGAGUCGGUCUACUUGUCUCGGACGUGAUGCCUAUAUACAUGAUCAUACCUAGAUAUUCUCAUAACUAUGCUCAAUUCUGUCAAUUGCUCAAUAGUAAUUUGUUCACCCACCGUAAGUACUUAUGCUCUCGAGAGAAGCCACUAGUGAAACCUAUGGCCCCCGGGUCUAUUUUCCAUCAUAUUAAUCUUCCAACAACAAGCUAUUUCUUUUGUCGUUUUUAUUUUGUUUUCUUUACUUUGCAUCUUUAUCACAAAAAUACCAAAAAUAUUAUCUUAUCAAGAUCUCACUCUCGUAAGUGACUGUAUAGGGAUUGACAACCCCUUAUCGCGUUGGUUGCGAGGAUUUAUUUGUUUGUGUAGGUGCGAGGGACUCGUGCAUGGCCUCCUACUGGAUUGAUACCUUGGUUCUCAAAAACUGAGGGAAAUACUUACGCUACUUUUCUGCAUCACCCUUUCCUCUUCAAGGGAAAACUAACGCAGUGCUCAAGAAGUAGCAUGCUCCUGUUUGGAUACUCUAACUUAGCUAGAGGUUAGACUAACUCAUGACUAACCCUGAACUAACUGUAGCCAAAGAGGUGUUUGGAUGACAGGGUUAGAUUGAUAAUAAAUGCACUUGAUGGAGAGAGAAAAGUGACUUUUCAGUGGGCCCAAUGAGAACUAUCUCCAAUUAGCACCUCUUGGGUGGGAUAGUUUUUUUUGGUGGGUUCAGUGCAACUUGCUCCAAUUUAACCCUCAUGAUUGGAUACUUU
rnacentral:lncRNA from 1 species